rnacentral:rRNA from 1 species
ACGAAAGGUGCAAGCGUUACUCGGAAUCACUGGGCGUAAAGCGCACGUAGGCGGACUCGUAGGUCAAUUGUGAAAUACCUGGGCUCAACCCGGGAACUGCAGUUGAAACCGCUUGUCUUGAAUACCUGAGAGGGUGGGGGAAUACCUGGUGGAGAAGUGAAAUUCGUAGAGAUCAGGUGGAACACCGGAGGCGAAGGCGCCUGCCUGGCAGUGUAUUGACGCUGAGGUGCGAAAGUGCGGGGAGCAAACAGGA